rnacentral:SRP_RNA from 1 species
GCCAGGCAUGGUGGCUCAUGCCUGUAAUCCUAGCACUUUGGGAGGCCAAGGUGGGCGGGUCACCUGAGGUCAGGAGUUCACCAGCCUGACCAACAUGGUGAAACCCCAUCUUUA